CCAAACAGUAAAAGCCUAUGUAGUAAAAGAUGUUUUGUCAAAUACGACGUUCUCUAGUAGCUGUGAAUAAUUUGAGCAAAACACGUCGUAAAUGCUCUUUAAGGCGUUCCUUGCGCGCCUUAAUUGAUAUUAAAUACGGCGUUAAUUAAGUGUCGUAAUACUGCAAAAAUAAUUACGGUAUACUUGUGUGUCAUAAUUUAUAUUUGAUACCGCGUUUGUUGAGUGUCGUAAUAUUGUGAAGGCAAUUACGGCAUACAACGUACAUCGUAAAAGAAGACUACCAUCAAUUACGGCUGAUUUUGCAUGUCGUAGUUUACAUUUAUUUUUAUUUUUGACAAUUCAUUUUAGAUGGACUUCAUAAAAUCUAAAUUAAUAUUGCAAGGAGUACAAUAGAAAGCUAACAAUAAUCAUCGUAGACACAUUAUGCUCUAAAUACUUAGAUUAAUUAGUAAAAAUUGUCAAUUACAGUACAAUUGGAAGUUUACAAAAAAACCUGAGUUGUUUUGUUCCUCUUACAAUUUAUGCACAUCAUAAAGCUAACAGAGGAAACUAAUGAUGACUACAAGGCAACAUCAUACCAAAAAGCAAUCUCCCAAGAACACCCUCCGUGUUCAUGCAACAGCCAAUUUGAUCACAAAAGAGCACCAUACCAAGAAGGAAGUGUUGAGCUAAUUCUCAAAUCUGUAGGAUAAAAAAAAAUUAUAUAUAUAACUAGUAAGUGAUAGAAAAAACAAGAAAUAAGUAAAGUAGAAAUUGAUAUAAAUUUAGUGAAGCAUCACGACCAAAAUUAGUACCUUUUAGUCAAGAGCUAGUCAAAGGAGAUACAUUAGAUUGGCCAAGCGAUUGUACUAAGAAGUGCAUAAUCGAGAAGAAAAAACUCACGUAUUGGUCGAGGUAAGUUUAUCCUUGAUACAAGUAUCUCAAGGACCCAAACUUUCCAAUGAUUUGGUCCAAGUGGCACAAAAUGCACCAAAUCUUGAGGAUUUGUGGUGCAACUUCAGCAAGUUCAACAAGUUCUCUAGUCCCUGUCCAAUUUAGUAAUUUGCACUUAGUCCUUUGAGGUUUGGGAGAAUUAUGAUUUAGAUUACCAGAAGAGUCAUCAAGGUUGGAAGAUUUAGGUUGAGGCUUGGAAGAUUCAAUGUGUGUGGAAUAUAAAUAAGAACCUUAACAUUUACAUACAGAGUUCAGAAUAUAACCUUGGAAAGUAUGCUCUUUCUUUAUCCAUUGUAGACCAAUUAAACUCUACAUUCUACAUUGUCGAGUUCUCUAAUUUUAGCAGUCAACAUAGUAGCUACUAAAACAUAUAUCUAAAACAUAUAUAGAAAACAAAACCAAGUUUAAAAGCACUGUAAUACAAAAACUUAGCAUAUUCAAAGGCAAGACACAAAAUAAGUCAUCAAUUACAAUAAUGAAAAUAAAUGACUACUCAUUUACAUAAUUUGUUAUACCUGAAUUUCUAGGCAUGCAUUGACAGUGAUGAAACCUUGAUAAGCCAAAUAAGCAACGAUGCAGGCAUAUUAUCAAACCUGGAAUAGCCAAAUAAGCAGUGUUUUAGGAGAUUAUAUACUCUCAGAAUAAACCACAACUAUUUGUAAAACAUAUCAAAUAUUCCCUAACUUGUCAUCCAAUAUCCAACUUGUAUCAUCCAACUGUCAAGUAUUAAGGAGUGAAAACAUGAAAGACGCAUAACUUUGUCACAUCAACAAAUGCAUCUAAAAUCUACACGUUUUAGACCUAAGUCCUAACUCCGAACCAAAGGAAAAUACAACUUCUACUCUAUUGAAUUAUAGUAUCUUUUUCCUCCAAAGAUAAUUUGAAAUUGGUGCAAAUUCUUCUUCUUUAGUUUUCCUUGGUUAUCACAUAUCACAAUAUCAACAUUCAAAUGGAUUACAUAAAGAAAUCAUCAAUCAUAUACGUUAUUCAUCAUUUUAUACUUUUUCGGAAAUAGACACACUUGUAAAUGAACAACUCAAUAGCAAUUAAAUACUUUAUAAUGAUCCCAAGUUGAAAACAAGUCUAGAAACUAACAAAAUUACUUUAUAAUGAUCCCAAAUUUAUAAUGAUCGAGUAACCUUACCCCCUGCCCAACACAUGCCUGCAGGCAGAUACACGGACACACACUCCCACAUACAUUUAGAGGACAUCACAGAGGUUGCUUAGAAAGUAGAGGAGGACAUCACUGCUAGAAAUUUUCCUAUUCUCAAAAAGUAGAGGGGGAUAUCUUCAGCCUCUAAAAAAAUUAAAGGGUCUCCAUCAAGAAGGCAAAGGGUCCCCAUGCAAAUGGUUGCUUCAGAGCAACAAUGAAGGGCACCAAUUUCAAUUUCCUUGACACUUUUUUGUUCGCUAAAUCAACUCAACAAAGCCUACCCAUGUCUAUCAUAAAAAAUAAAAAAUAAAAAAUCACUUCACCAUUCUUUGAAAGCGCCAAAGGCUUCAAGAAUCAUACAACCAAGACACAUCUCCAUGCCGAAUAGAAUAAAGCAUGGUCCAAUAUUCAUUCACGCCACCUUCCUUCAAAUACUCAUAAAUGCAUACAUAGCACCAGACAAAAGAUUGAAAUCUACAUCCAUUUUCAUAAUUACAAACUCAACAUUUGUAUCAUUGAAAAGGGUAAAACCAAAUGGUAAAAAAAUAAUUAAGUUUCAAAAAAAUAUUGAAAUUGCAUUUUGUAAAAUGAAUAAACAAGUGAGAAAAGAGAGAUGUGUUGGAUGAGGAAAUCACCAUGGCUGGCCGGAGCUUGACGAGUUGUAAAAGCUGGGGACUCUGGAGAAAGAAAAUAGAAUCAAGCCAAAAAGCUCCAUUUUGAACAUUGGGAAACUGAAACAAGUGUAAUGGUACUGGGCACCCCAAAACACACAGAUUGGUCUAAUAAAAAAAAUAAAAAAGUGUGGGAAAAUUUCGGCGGGAACUUUUCGGCACCAAAAUGUCUAUUGAUUGACUAGAAAACUUUGGCUUGUUUAUAAAAUAUUAAUUUUCCAAAGUUAGAGUCAUUAUUUACGACGUGACAUUCAUGUCAUAAAAAGUAGGGACACAAAUAUAUGAAAAAUUCACAUUACGACAUAACGUGAAGCCUUAAAAAAGAAGGAAAGUGUGUCAUAUAAAUUGUCACAUACGACACACAACGCUUAAGUCGUAAAUAUUUGUGUUUAACAACUUGCACAAAAUUACUGCCGUGAAUGAGAGAUUAUGCACAAGUAUUACGACAUGAACUUUAUGAAUGUCGUGAAUGAUAUUAUUUAAGGCAUACCAGUACUGCACACCGUACUUGUCAAGUCAUAAAAGACCCAAACUGUUCUAGUUGCUACUUGUAAUUGCACGAAUAAAAAAGAUUAGGAUUUUUGGAUUUUUGGUAAAUCUCGUGUUUUAAGACUAACAAACUAGGGUUUGGGAAGAGACAUGCCAAAACUUGUUUUGAUACCAAGAUAAAAGUGUUUAGGGUUAUAUAUAUAUAUACAGACACACACACAAAAAUACAAGGAUGUCUAGAUACAUAAAGUUCUUAUUCAAUGUAUAUGGAAUUCCUAUCAAUUACAGAUCUAUAAUAAAUAGGAAAGUUGACUACAAUAAAUAAGAAAGUUGAUUAUAAUAAAUAAAAAAGUUGACUCAUGCUAACAUAAUCAACUCUCCUCUUCAUUCUGUCACUUAAUAUUACAGUCCAGUGGUUUCCUCUUCACUUGUAAGUGAGAGGUCUUAGAUUCAACUCUUGUCAAAUGCGAACUUGAACCACAAUCUUGCUAGCCAUUGUGAGGCUUGGCACAUUCCCUCACCCUUUUAGUGUAGACAAAAUCAUUUGUUUAAAAAACAAAACUCUCCUCUUCAUUCUAUUUAAUCAAAAAUAAUUAAAAUCAACUCCAAUGGUUAAGUUUUGAAUUGUUGGAGUUUGAAAUGAGAUGAUGACAUUUAAAAUACUCACACAAUCCUAGACAACAAAAUGAGUCUCUUCCAAUCCUUGCCUUAUAUUAUAGGGAACUUUAACAAAAAAACUCUUGGUAUUGUUCACUUUAACGAAAAAUCAUAUUUUUACACUAAAAAGUCAAUCUUGGUACUAUUCACUUUACCCUUUAUUUUGUCUUUAUCAUUAAAACUCAAAGUUUUAAAACCAUUUUCAUUAGUUUUCCUUAUAUUAUGAGCCA
rnacentral:lncRNA from 1 species